GGGUUCUUGGUACUUACCACAGGGUGUGUUCUUAAACUGACCAUAUAGAAAGAGAAGACAGAGCAAAGCUACCCUAUAUACACCUCAGCCCAGGACCCCUGGCAAGUCUGUACUGUAAAGAGGGGGGGCAUGG
rnacentral:snoRNA from 1 species